rnacentral:lncRNA from 1 species
UAUCAGAUGAAGAGGAUGAGAGGAAGCAGUUUCAACAGUUAUUCUACCACACCACUGGGAUCUAGGCUGGUUACAGCACUAGCAGUCGUUUCUGACCUGUUUCCAGUCAAGGAUUUUGGCUGUUGCAGCAUUUGUAGAAUGAAGAUGAAUGCAGAAAUGGUGGAACCUAUUCUUACUGAUUCACUGAACAAGAAAGAAAAUAAAAUGUAAAGGCUGGAGAAGCUGAGGAGAAAAAAAAUCUGAUAGUUUCUCAGGUGAAUAUGUCGAAGUUUAGAUAGUUUCUUUUUAACAAAGCUCAUAUGGAAACUGAGCUCCGGUGGACUUCUGCCUGCCAGCUAGGUUUACAACCAAAACUUUCCCAGUUUGCAAUCAUUUUUGAAGCUUUGAGUCCCCUUUGACUUCUUGAUCCUGCAUCGUGAAGAUAGCUUGACAGUCAUCAAGACUACUGGAAAGCUAGUGUUUUAUAUGUGGGUGAAUGUGGAAAAAUAAUGCCCAGAGUCAAAGGCUGAGAGUUUAACUUUUUCUAUCCCAAGAAAAUAGUUCCUUUCACAAGCCGAAACUGCUGUGGUAGCUGUUUCACUGAGCUACAUAAAAAUCUGAACUGUAUAAAAAGAGACACCUUUACUUAAAAUGGUGAAAGUGGAUUUAUUUACUAAAUAUUAUUAAUAAUCAUGUUUAUUAUAAUUAAUAAUAUUAAUAUUUUGGUGUAUAGAUAGCUGAAGCUGUCACAGUGUUUUUCAACAUCUCCUCUAUAAAGUUUUCCAAUGGGUUGAAAGGACAUUAUAGUAUACAUUUUGUAUUGUCAUUGGCUUACCUCAAAAGGAUGUAAAAUAUCCAUUGCGGACAAAAUCUGACUGCUGUAUUUUGAAAUUCUUGUAUGUGCUGUCAUCAUCAGCACCAUGAAAGAUUAGUUUUAUGAAAUUGGAGGGCUUUCCAUUUUCAAGCUAGGUGUAAUUUACUGCGUGGUUUUGUGAAUGAUGCUUUUCUUUGUUUGCUUGUUGUUUUUAAUAUGAAAUAGUAUAAAGGCAUUUGGGAAGUAGCUGAAAGGAAUUGAAUUCUUCAAAUUAAAACUUUUCUAAAUAUUUCAUGCUUUUCUGGAUGAAUAAUUGCAAAUAUUAUCCAAUGAUCUUGUCCUGGCCAUAGACAGACAAUGAUGUUACCUUUCAUAAUGUGGCUCUUCUGCAAGCUGAACAGACUCUCCCAGUUUCCC